rnacentral:tRNA from 1 species
GCGGGUGUGGCGGAACUGGUAGACGCGCUGGACUCAAAAUCCAGUUCUGGUGACAGAGUGUCGGUUCGAGUCCGACCACCCGCACCA